GAGCCCGUAGCUCACUGGUUAGAGCGUUGGACUUCCAAUCAAAAGUCGCGGAUUCGAGCCUCGUUUGAUCCA
rnacentral:tRNA from 1 species